rnacentral:siRNA from 1 species
AAUCAGGACUACCCGUUUCGGCGC